GGGGGGGAGGGGGGGGGGGUCGAGGGGCUCCGUCUUCACCUGGUGCCUGGAGAGGAAAAGGCGCGGGCGGGGAGCGCUUUCUCCCCGCGGGUAGAGGGUGGGCGAGGUGGGUCCCGGUGGCCGUCACAGUCCCCCUCGGGGCUCGCUGGCCGCUUCCCCGGCCUCUCCCAUGGCUCAGCAGCGGCAUCCCAAGGAGGCGAAACGGGAGCCUCCUCUUCCUCCUCCUCCUCCGGCUCCUCCCGCGGGUCGGGCCGGGUGGGGGAUCCUCGCCGAUCGCCCCAUGGAAACCGAGCGUCCGGCAGCUCUCCGGGAGCGGGCCGGGCCGGCGGCACACAGCCGCACCCGUGCACACGGCCGGCCGAGCACACGCACCCCCGCCCCGAGCCCGGCCCCGCACGGCCGACGACGAGGCGAGCAGGAGCAGGAGCAGGAGCAGGAGCAGGAGCAGGAGCAGGAGCAAGAGCAGGAGCAGGAGCAGGAGCAGGAGGAGGCUCCACCGCCCGAUCCUCUCCGGCGCCCCCGGCUCCCGGCCCGGCCGUCUGGCAUAGCCUCCCUCUCACCUCUCCUGCAAGUUCGCCGCCGACCCAAAUCCACGCAAUUCCACUCGGGCACUUCAAUUAGAGGUGCUGGACCGCUUAUUGGGCUCAUGGAUCCCACAGAACUGAUCCCGUAG
rnacentral:lncRNA from 1 species